rnacentral:lncRNA from 1 species
UAAGGAGGUGAUUGAUACUCUGGUGGCGGAGGCGAUUUGUAGUAAUAAGGUGGUGGGGGUGGUGACUCGUAUUUGUAGGGAGGUGGUGGAGGGGAUUCAUACUUGUAUGGAGGCGGUGGAGGUGACUCAUACUUGUACGGAGGUGGAGGUGGGGAUUCAUACUUGUAAGGUGGUGGUGGUGGUGACUCGUAUUUGUACGGAGGUGGAGGUGGGGAUUCAUACUUGUAAGGUGGUGGUGGUGGUGACUCGUAUUUGUAGGGAGGUGGUGGUGGCGACUCAUACUUGUAUGGAGGCGGUGGAGGAGAUUUGUAAUAGUAAGGUGGUGGUGGUGGUGACUCGUAUUUAUAUGGAGGUGGUGGCGGGGAUUCAUAUUUGUAGGGAGGUGGUGGAGGGGACUUGUAGUAGUAAGGUGGAGGAGGAGGCGAUUCAUACUUGUAGGGAGGUGGAGGUGGGGAUUCAUAUUUGUAUGGUGGGGGUGGCGGAGACUUGUAGUAAUAAGGUGGAGGGGGCGACUUGUAUUUGUAAACUGGGGGUGGCGGAGACUCGUAUUUGUAGACUGGUGGUGGCGGCGACUCAUACUUGUAUGGAGGCGGUGGAGGAGAUUUGUAAUAGUAAGGUGGUGGGGGUGGUGACUCGUAUUUGUAGGGAGGUGGUGGCGGGGAUUCAUACUUGUAGGGAGGUGGCGGCGGGGAUUUGUAGUAAUAAGGAGGUGGUGGUGGAGAUUCAUACUUGUACGGAGGAGGAGGUGGAGACUCGUACUUGUAUGGAGGUGGCGGCGGGGAUUUGUAGUAAUAAGGUGGUGGCGGGGGUGACUUGUAUUUGUAAACUGGCGGUGGUGGAGAUUCGUACUUGUAUGGAGGUGGCGGGGGGGAUUUGUAGUAAUAAGGUGGUGGUGGUGGAGAUUCAUACUUGUACGGAGGAGGAGGUGGAGACUCGUACUUGUAUGGAGGUGGCGGUGGGGAUUUGUAGUAAUAAGGUGGUGGCGGAGGUGACUUGUAUUUGUAAACUGGUGGUGGUGGAGAUUCAUACUUGUACGGAGGAGGUGGUGGCGACUCGUACUUGUAUGGUGGUGGUGGAGGGGACUUGUAGUAAUAAGGUGGAGGUGGCGGGGAUUCAUACUUGUAUGGAGGUGGUGGUGGUGACUCGUACUUGUAUGGUGGUGGUGGCGACUUGUAUUUGUAAACUGGGGGUGGCGGAGUCUCAUAUUUGUAGACUGGAGGUGGCGGGGAUUCAUAUUUGUAUGGAGGUGGUGGUGGGGACUUGUAAUAGUAAGGUGGUGGAGGCGGGGACUCGUAUUUGUAAGGAGGAGGAGGCGGCGAUUCGUAUUUGUAGGGAGGUGGUGGUGGGGAUUUGUAAUAGUACGGUGGAGGGGGCGGGGAUUUGUAAUAGUAUGGAGACGGUGGUGGGGGCGACUUGUAGUAAUAAUUAGGCGGAGGUGGAGGUGGGGACUUGUAAUAGUAUGGUGGUGGAGGCGGGGAUUUGUAAUAGUAGACCGGCGAAGGAGGAGGAGGGGAUUUGUAGUAGUAAACCGGAGGAGGUGGCGAUUUGUAGUAGUAGACCGGAGGUGGCGGAGAGGCGUAAUGGUAGACCGGUGUUGGUGGCGGAGGUGACUUGUACUCAUAGGGAGGUGAUGUGUAGAAGCAGACUGACGAUGGCUCUGGAGUUGCAUAGAUGAAAGGACCGGCUGUCAAGACGAGCUCCUUCUCUGUUUUCGAUUUGAACUUGAGCUUGGCCCCUGUUGCACCAGACCUGUAGUCCGUGAUGACAUUGCAUGACGACUUGAUGUAGCUGCUCUUGAUAAUCUUGGCCUUGCAGCUGCUUGCGUCUUCCCAGGAUUGGUGCGGGAGCUCAAUUCUAAAGAUUCCAUGCUUGUUGGUGUAGCCGUAGUAGUAAGAUUCGCCACAUGUGAUCUUCACUUUGCCACCUGCAUUAUUGCACACAGUAUCAAGAGGAAAUGAGUGAGGAGAACAAUAUCGAAUUGAAUGCAAUUGAGAAUGUACCUAGCAGACCCAUGUGGUGAUGCCUGAAGUAUCUGCUUGUGGUGUUCCAGCAUCUGUUGCAAUAGACCUUGCCCGUGACCACUACCAGCUUGUAACUUGGUGGGGGUGGCGAUUGGUAGUGGUAAGCUGGAGGUGGCGGGGAUUUGUAAUAGUAGACAGGCGGUGGGGGAGAUUUGUAGUAAUACGCUGGUGGAGGAGGAGAUUUGUAGUAAUAUACUGGUGAUGGAGGAGGUGGUGAUUUGUAGUAAUAUGGUGGCGGAGGAGGAGAUUUGUAUUUGUAAACUGGAGGUGGUGGUGGUGGAGACUUGUAGUAAUAUGGCGGUGGUGGUGGAGACUUGUAAUAGUAUGGAGGUGGAGGAGGAGAUUCGUACUUGUAAGGUGGUGGUGGUGGAGAUUUAUAUUUGUAGACAGGAGAAGGUGGUGGUGGUGAUUUGUAGUAGUAAGGUGGUGGCGGGGGUGGAGAUUUGUAGUAAUAUGGAGGUGGAGGAGGCGACUCGUACUUGUAUGGUGGUGGCGGUGGCGAUUCGUACUUAUAUGGUGGUGGAGGAGGCGAUUCAUACUUGUAUGGUGGUGGCGGCGGCGAUUCAUACUUGUACGGAGGUGGCGGCGGCGAUUCAUACUUGUAUGGUGGUGGCGGCGGCGAUUCGUACUUGUAUGGUGGGUGGCGGCGGCGAUUCAUACUUGUAUGGUGGAGGUGGUGGCGAUUCAUACUUGUAGGGGGGCGGCGGAGGUGAUUUGUAAUAGUACGGUGGUGGAGGCGGCGACUCGUACUUGUAGGGAGGCGGAGGCGGCGAUUCAUACUUGUAGGGAGGAGGCGGAGGCGGAGAUUUGUAGUAGUAAGGCGGAGGAG